UCCUCCCACCCUCUCACUGCCUUCCACAGCCGGCGACACUCGACGCUGCGGCCAUUGCCGGCUCCCCCGCCCCUGCUACCACGGCGCCGUCGAGAAUCCUCCCCGCCACCUGUUGGAACCGCCCGCCUGGCUCCUGCAGCGAACAUCCCGCUGUCGAUUCCCACCCUAGCGUCUAGUGCCCUCCACCUGUGACUUUGAUGGAAAACAAGUUGGCAUCCGACGGUGCUCCAUAGUUCGCUGGAGUUUCAUCGGCUGGUUCCACGCUUGAGGUAUUUGAGGCAGGAAGGGUGAUUAGAAUCGACGAGGAGCAGCAUGAAGCAGCAACCAUUGCCGGCUUAGCUUCUUAGAGGGACAACCACACUGUGUUUUAGUGUCUCGAUCUAAUUCAUUUAACCACACAUAUCAUCCAUGGAUUGGAGAGAGUGAGAGAACCAAGAUAAUCCACUUGAUAUUACAUGUAUAAUGGUGCAAUUCACACAAAUGAACAAGCUUAACAAGAUUGCAUGCAAGGU